rnacentral:rRNA from 1 species
GCCGUGAAGCGAGCCACCUGGGAAGUACGGCCGCAAGGCUGAAACUUAAAGGAAUGGCGGGGGAGCACCACAACGGGUGGAGCUGCGGUUUAAUUGGAUUCAACGCCGGGAAAUCUUACCGGGACCGACAGCAAUAUGAAGGCCAGGCUGAAGACUUUGCCGGAUUAGCUGAGAGGUGGUGCAUGGCCGUCGUCAGUUCGUACUGUGAAGCAUCCUGUUAAGUCAGGCAACGAGCGAGACCCACGCCCACAGUUGCCAGCGUACUCUCUGGAGUGACGGGUACACUGUGGGGACCGCCGCUGCUAAAGCGGAGGAAGGAAUGGGCAACGGUAGGUCAGUAUGCCCCGAAUAUCCCGGGCUACACGCGAGCUACAAUGGUUGGUACAAUGGGUAUCUACCCCGAAAGGGGACGGGAAUCUCCUAAAACCAAUCUUAGUUCGGAUUGAGGGCUGCAACUCGCCCUCAUGAAGCUGGAAUCCGUAGUAAUCGCGUUUCAACAGAACGCGGUGAAUACGUCCCUGCUCCUUGCACACACCGCCCGUCAAACCACCCGAGUAGGGUCUGAAUGAGAGCGCUUUCUUUGGAGGCGUUCGAAUUUGGGCUUUGCAAGGGGGGUU